AGAGUUUGAUCCUGGCUCAGAACGAACGCUGGCGGCGUGGAUAAGACAUGCAAGUCGAACGGGAACUUUUUUGGUAGCAAUACCGAAAAAGUUCUAGUGGCGAACGGGUGCGUAACACGUGGGCAAUCUGCCUUAAAGUGGGGGAUAGCUCGGCGAAAGCCGAAUUAAUACCGCAUGUGAUCAGGGGAGACAUCUUCCCGAAAUCAAAAGUGGCGCAAGCUACUGCUUUUUGAGGAGCCCGCGGCCUAUCAGCUAGUUGGUGAGGUAACGGCUCACCAAGGCUCUGACGGGUAGCUGGUCUGAGAGGACGACCAGUCACACUGGAACUGAGACACGGUCCAGACACCUACGGGUGGCAGCAGUCGAGAAUUUUUCUCAAUGGGGGAAACCCUGAAGGGAGCGACGCCGCGUGGAGGAUGAAGGUCUUUCGGGGUUGGAAACUCCCUGUCAUUUGGGAACCAAUGGCUUACCGAGUUAACUUGUUCCGGUAGUUUGAUUAGUACCCAGAAAGAAGGAAGAAAACGGCUAAACUCUUGUGCCAGGCAGGCCGCGGGUAAUAACAGAAGGUCUCAAAGGCGUUUGUUCGGAUUCAUUUGGGGCGUAAAAGGGUGGUGGUAGGUGGGCGCCCUAAAUUCGGGUGUGGAAAUACUUCCGGGGGCUUAAACUCUCGAAACGGUGCAUUCGAUUUCUGCGGUGCUUUGAGGACUGGGAGAAGGAGAUCUGGGACAUCAUCGGUGUAGCAGUGAUCUGCGUAGAGAUCAUGGAGGAGGCCAGUGGUCGAGGGCGGGUUCUCUGGACCAGUUCCUGGACAUUGAGACACGGAGCCAGGGGGAGCAAACCGGGAUUAGAUACCCCGGUAAGUCCUGGCAGUAAACCGGUGCACGUUUGGGUGUGGGGGGGAUUCGGACCCCUUCUGCGCCUGGAGCUAACGCGGUUAAAACCGAUGCCCGCCUGGGGGAGUACGGUCCGCAAGGAUUAAAAACCUCAAGGAAAUUCGACGGGGGGCCCCGCCACAAGGCGGGUGGGAGUAUGUGGGCUUAUUUCGAUGCAACGCGAAGAACCUUUACCCUGGCCCUGGACAUGCAUCUUUUAAGCUGGUGAAAGCCCAGUGACCUCCCCGAAAGGGAGAAUUUGCACAGGUGCUGCAUGGCUGUCGUCAGCUCGUGUCGUGAGAUGUUGGGUUAAGUCCCGCAACGAGCGCAACCCCUGUGAACUGUUGCCACCAAGCCGUGAGGCUUGAGCACUCUGUUCAGACUGCCCUGUGAAACGGGGAGGAAGGUGGGGACGACGUCAAGUCAGUAUGGCCCUUACGGCCAGGGCUGCACACGUACUACAAUGCCCAGUACAGAACGAUCCGAGACCGCGAGGUGGAGGUAAUCUAGUAAAACUGGGCCCAGUUCGGAUUGGAGUCUGCAACUCGACUCCAUGAAGCCGGAAUCGCUAGUAAUGGCGCAUCAGCUACGGCGCCGUGAAUACGUUCCCGGGCCUUGUACACACCGCCCGUCACAUCAUGGAAGUCACUUGUAGCCGAAGCCGGCGCGUCAACCCGCAAGGGAGACAGCCGCCUACGCUAUGAGUGGUAACUGGGAUGAAGUCGUAACAAGGUAACC
rnacentral:rRNA from 1 species